GCUUUCCUUUGGCUCAGCUGGUAGAGCAUUGCGCAAACAAUGCAAAAGGUUAUGGGUUCAUAUCCCAGGGAAUGCA